rnacentral:rRNA from 1 species
CGCAUCUGUGCAUGCAGCAUAUCAAUAAGCGGAGGAAAAGAAACUAACAAGGAUUCCCCUAGUAACGGCGAGUGAAGCGGGAAGAGCUCAAAUUUGAAAUCUUAAAGGGUUUCCCUUUACGAAUUGUAGUUUAAAGAAGUGUUUUCUGUUGAGGUUUUGGUAAAAGUUCUUUGGAAUAGGACAUCAUAGAGGGUGAGAAUCCCGUAUUUGACCUUUACUUUCAACUUUGUGAUACACUUUCAAAGAGUCGGAUUGUUUGGGAAUGCAGUCCAAAAUGGGUGGUAAAUUUCAUCUAAAGCUAAAUAUUGGCGAGAGACCGAUAGCGAACAAGUACCGUGAGGGAAAGAUGAAAAGAACUUUGAAAAGAGAGUUAAACAGUACGUGAAAUUGUCAAAAGGGAAGCGUUUGACACCAGUGUUGUUUUUCUGAAAAUCAAUUAAAGAACUGUUUAUGCUAAGUUGUUUAGACUUUAUCAGCUAACUGUUUAGUUUUGAGCUUUUCUUUAUGCACUUUUCAGUUAACAAGUCAACAUCAAUUUCUUUUGCUGUAAAAAAGCUUGAGGAAGGUGGCUUGAGAUUCGUCUUAAGUGUUUAUAGCCUCUUGCCUAUAGCAGUCGGAGAGAUUGAGGUCUGCAGCGUAGAUCCUUCGGGGCUAAAUGCAUUUGUGCUAAGUUAUAGCAUUUUAUAGACAACUUGUUGACUAUGAUUUGUCUUGUAGCUUACUCGCUUAUGUUAUUUUACCUACGCUUAGGAUGUUGACGAGACUGUCGAUCUCAUCUAUACAUGACUCUGUGCAUAUCAAUAAGCGGAGGAAAAGAUCACCUACCUACGCUUAGGAUGUUGACGAGACUGUCGAUCUC